rnacentral:tRNA from 1 species
UGUUCUGUGGCUUAGUUGGUUAAAGCGCCGGUCUAGCGAAUACGGAGUCGUGGAUCCGAAUCCCACCAGAACGC